AAUAGAAAGUAGGAAAGGGCGUAUGGCGGAUGCCUAGGCUCACGGAGGCGAUGAAGGACGUGAUAAGCUGCGAUAAGUUUCGGGUAGGUGCAAAUAACCUUUGAUCCG
rnacentral:rRNA from 1 species